AUCGAACGCUGGCGGCAGGCCUAACACAUGCAAGUCGAACGAGUGGCGGACGGGUGAGUAAUGUCUGGGCAACUGCCCGACGGAGGGGGAUAACUACUGGAAACGGUAGCUAAUACCGCAUACCAUCGGAUGUGCCCAGAUGGGAUUAGCUAGUGGGUGGGGUAACGGCUCACCUAGGCGACGAUGCCUAGCUGGUCUGAGAGGAUGACCAGCCACACUGGGACUGAGACACGGUCCAGACUCCUACGGGAGGCAGCAGUGGGGAAUAUUGGGCAAUGGGCGCAAGCCUGAUGGAGCAAUGCCGCGUGUGUGAAGAAGGCCUUCGGGUUGUAAAGUGCUGUCGGCGGGGAGGCGUUACUCGCAGAGGAAGCACCGGCUAACUCCGUGCCAGCAGCCGCGGUAAUUC
rnacentral:rRNA from 1 species